UACGGAGGAUCCAAGCGUUAUCCGGAUUUAUUGGGUUUAAAGGGUGCGUAGGCGGUUUAGUAAGUUAGAGGUGAAAAUCCGUGGCUCAACCACGGUCUUGCCUCUAAUACUGCUGAGCUAGAGAUUAGAUGCUGUAGGCGGAAUGUGUGGUGUAGCGGUGAAAUGCUUAGAGAUCACACAGAACACCGAUUGCGAAGGCAGCUUACAAAUCUAUAUCUGACGUUGAGGCACGAAAGCGUGGGGAGCAAACAGG
rnacentral:rRNA from 1 species